AUUGAACGCUGGCGGCAGGCCUAACACAUGCAAGUCGGACGGUAGCACAGAGGAGCUUGCUCCUCGGGUGACGAGUGGCGGACAGGUGAGUAAUGUCUGGGGAUCUGCCCGAUAGAGGGGGAUAACCACUGGAAACGGUGGCUAAUACCGCAUAACGUCGCAAGACCAAAGAGGGGGACCUUCGGGCCUCUCACUAUCGGAUGAACCCAGAUGGGAUUAGCUAGUAGGCGGGGUAAUGGCCCACCUAGGCGACGAUCCCUAGCUGGUCUGAGAGGAUGACCAGCCACACUGGAACGGAGACACGGUCCAGACUCCUACGGGAGGCAGCAGUGGGGAAUAUUGCACAAUGGGCGCAAGCCUGAUGCAGCCAUGCCGCGUGUAUGAAGAAGGCCUUCGGGUUGUAAAGUACUUUCAGCGGGGAGGAAGGCGGUGAGGUUAAUAACCUUGCCGAUUGACGUUACCCGCAGAAGAAGCACCGGCUAACUCCGUGCCAGCCGCCGCUGUAA
rnacentral:rRNA from 1 species